rnacentral:snRNA from 1 species
AUGUCCUACGGGACAUCGGUCUAUUUGAAACGAUACAGAGAAGAUUAGCAUGGGUAAGUCAAAGCGCCCGAGUUCGAUUCCCACUGGGGAAUUUAUGUACCAGCAUGGAUGCUAACAAGUACUCACAGCCCCUGCAUAAGGAUGACAACAUACGCUAAAGAGAGGACUCAAUUUUUU